rnacentral:rRNA from 1 species
UACGAAGGGGGCUAGCGUUGCUCGGAAUCACUGGGCGUAAAGCGCACGUAGGCGGAUCGCUAAGUCAGGGGUGAAAUCCUGGAGCUCAACUCCAGAACUGCCUUUGAUACUGGCAAUCUCGAGUCCGGGAGAGGUGAGUGGAACUGCGAGUGUAGAGGUGAAAUUCGUAGAUAUUCGCAAGAACACCAGUGGCGAAGGCGGCUCACUGGCCCGGAACUGACGCUGAGGUGCGAAAGCGUGGGGAGCAAACAGG